rnacentral:lncRNA from 1 species
UGCAAUGUAAAGAUCGUACGAAAACACCUUUUGACGUCUGAAUGCAGAUUCGGAAAGAUUAGAACUUAGAAACUUGUUCGUAAAAGCGCAGAGAGCAGUAGCUAUGUAGGAGGUUUGCAGUAAUGAUAAAGAGCUCAAAAUAAACGCAAACCAAAGAUUUAGAGUGGUUCGGUCAGUCUUGACCUACUCCACUUUUGGCUUCCUCCACC